rnacentral:lncRNA from 1 species
GUCACGCGCUGCCACGCUCCGGAGUUGUUUGAAACUUGGCUACCCAUUUAUGCUGAGAAGAUCCUGUACCUGGCAAGACAGGAGGGGAAGCUGAUAUUGCCCCUGGAUGGAUUAACACCAGAUGGUGUUGGGGAACUCGCCCUGAGGCAGUUGCCAGACUUGCUUCUACCUACAAUUUACAAAGUUGGCCGUGGCCACGGUGUGAAAGUAGUUCGCCUCACCAUACAGGAAUGCAGCUUGGCCUUCAUCAACCAUAAGCCUCCUGGAAUAAACAUGGUGGAGUACCUCCAUGAGGCCAAGGCAUGCAAGUCAUACCCCCACAUCCUGACACUGGGAAAUGAUCAGAGUGCAUUUCAGGCCUUCCGCUAAAAUGGUUAAGUUUAUUCAAACUAGAAUACUUGCUUACAAGUAGAGCUAAUGGCUCUUAAAAGCAGCAUUUAGGAAUUUGAAUUUAUUAACUAUAGAGCUGCAGACUGUUGGCCUGUUGAAUGUUCAGCCAGUUCAAUCGAAAUUGUUAUUUGCUCUGAAUGUGUUGCACCAUUUCUACUAUAUUUUUUUGAUAUUAAUGUAAUACAUUUUCAAAGAUUCCAUUUUGUUUUUGUAUUGUUUAAGUGUUUGUUACAUAAUAUGCAUACAUCUACCAUGUAUUCAGUUCUAGGUUUGUAGUUUCACAGUUUUAUAUGGGUAGUCUGCAGUUUAUUUUCUUAUUGUACUGUAAUGUGUUAGACUUAAUCUGGCUUAUGGGUUAAUUUUAUCUAGCUUAAUAUGUAGUUGAAUCAACCCAGAAUUGUAAUUAAUUUGACCCAGCAUUUGGGUACACUAUUUAACAAAAAUGAAGUUAAAUCAACCUACAAUUGUAUUUAAUUUGACCCAGCGUUUGGGUAGAAUAUUUAACUCAUCUGUUGGGUUAAAAAUGAUCAACCCAUAUUCCUGGGUCAAAUUAACUACUGUUGCUUUGGUGCAAUAUUGAUCCAGCAGUUGGGUUAAAAAUAAAUAAAUAAAAUACUUUACCUCAUAUUUCAUAAUAUUCUCAGCAUCAUUUGUGUCUACAACAUCUGUUGACGUGUGCUAAAAAAGCU